rnacentral:lncRNA from 1 species
UUCAAUGUAUGCCAAUGAAUGUAUUGAUCACGUUCGAGAAGCUUCAUCAUAUGUUGCAUUUCGGUAUCAGCUCCUCUUAUUGAAGAACGAUAUGCACUUCUUGCAUUGUAAAUUUGCUUUAUCGUGGUGCAACUGUUGGCAUUGUGUUCCUUCAACGUUAGCAAGAUGUUUUUUGGUUUCACCAUCGACUUUGUCAUAUCAGCAAUAAUUUUCUUUUCAUCCUUAGUCAAUCGCCCAGCGUAUGGAUGUCCAACUAAGGACUUGGCCAAUUCAUGAUUGUGAAUCCCACAGAUCAACUUCACCAUCCAACCUCCCCUUCCAUGCACUGGUUUCCCACGAAGCCUGAAGGAACAACCACAUUUCCUACUCCCAGUGUCUUUUC